rnacentral:rRNA from 1 species
GCAAGUCGAACGAGAUAGAUUCUUCGGGGAUUGAGUAGAGUGGCAAACGGGUGAGUAACGCGUGGGAAACCUGCCUUUUAGUUGGGGACAACACUUCUAACGAGUCGCUAAUACUGCAUAAUAGCUUAUCACCGCGUGGGGGUUUGUUGUUAGACGGCUACGAUUCAAGCUGUCGCUGAGGGAUGGUCCUGCGGCGCAUUAGCUAGUUGGUGGGGUAACGGCCCACCAAGACGACGAUGGGUAGCCGGCCUUAGCGGGUGAUC